GCCGGAUUCUUCCUCGCGGCGGUGAGGGGCUCGUGCUGAGGGAAGGAUAACCGCCUGCAGGAAAAGGGCUGGGUUUAAUCCCGCCCUCCGCACACCCCCGCUGUGGCUGAGGGAAGUGAAACGGUUCCGGGCGCGGGAGGUGAGCGCCUGUCGUUACCUGAGCGGUGAGGGCGGGGCACAUUCACUAUACGCGCGCCAGACAAACGUUUUCCGUUCUAAGUGUGUGAUCUGCGCGGAACAUAGGCAGGGAGUGACGGUGAGGCGCUGAGGGCGCCUCGGCGGGUGCAGGCGGAAGCCAGGGUCCUCACUGCUGGGGCCUGAACCCCUCAGUACUUGAUGGCAGCGGCCCGCUCGUGGCGGGGACCACGGGGGGUCGGCUCACGAAGCCCUGUGUUGACGCAGUGUGUGCGCACCCACCCGUGCCCGCCUCGGGCCUCAGCCCUGCUGGCAAACGGGCACCGGUGUCACCUGCACGGAGCUGGUCAGGAUGAGUGCGGAUGCUGAGCCCCUCCCAGAGGUGUCCAUGGAAGUACCCUGAGGACGUGGGGAAAACUGAUUCCUGUUUCUCUCCUGGUCUGUCAGCUGGAAGAACGCUCCUGUCCCCGUCCACGGAGCCCUCCAUGGGCAAGUGUGUGGGCACCUGUAGUGCCCUGGAUCUGUGGGCUUCCACAUGCCUGUUACCCUUCCCACGCUGAAAGCAGUAUGGCUCUCAAGACAUGACUAGUCACCUUUUUAGAGCAUAGCUCUACUUUUAUCACUGAUUAAGCCAUUAAAUAAAUCUGAAUAGGAAUAAUUUUCACCAUGAGAACAAGCAGCCACUGGAAUAAUCUCCCUAGGGAAGUGGUGGAUUCCCUGGCAUUGAACACUUGAUUCAGCUGGACAAGGAGCUGUGACGUCUCAUCUAGCCUGUGCUUUUGACAAAACCAGCUGGACCAGAUGAUCCUUAAGGUCGCUUCCAACCUGGCGGUGUAUGAGUCUGUGGUUGCAGAAGUCAGCCACUGGUGUAUUUGCAAUACAGCUCAAAUUUUUAACAUCAUGUAAUGGUUUUAUAGGACACUUCUGGCUUUGAAUUACAGCACAAAAUUGUACAAACCCUUCAAUACUGUGUAUUUAUUCUCUUCCUCAUGGGAACUUAAUAUUUAACUGGAAACUGCAUUCUGGUACUGAUAUAGCUGAAGGCCUAUGCAGUAAAUAUUAAGCAGUAUUUUACUGUGAAAGUUAUCUUGGCAAAAAAGAAAAUCUUACAAAUGGCUCUCUCAACUCCACCUUCCUCAGAGAUUCUUAACAACUGAGUUUAGGAGAGAAGCCGGGGAAUGCCCAUUGUCUGUUUUACGAUAAUGAUACUUUAGUAGAUAAUCCUGAAGGUAUGCACUGGCUCUAAAUGGGCUGGCUUUUUAGUUUGUCCACUCUGUGGCAAUCUACUUAAUAGAAUUAAAAAAUUCACAGUAGCAGCUUUUUGCCUCUUCAGAUCAAAGUAGUCAUUUAGUUUCCCAUUUGUUGUUUUAUUUUCCAUCUACCAGCAUGUGUAGGAUAGGAGCACAUCCCAAGGAAUGGUUUGCUGAGAGCCCUGAUGUGUGCUUCUCAAGUUAAUGGGCAGUGGUUUCCUGAUCUCAGCUUUUUCGCUUCAUGGUUUUGGUAAUUCAAGGCUAAAUCUAACAAGAGGCUUGGAAGCUUGUGAGUUCAAUGCUGCAGCACCUGCCUUAUGCUGAACAGCCUGUAAGCCCUGUGCUGCCACUCCUCUGCCUCCAUGGGAUGCUUGUCCAGACUCAUUUACUGGGCAGGAGUUGCUAGUGUGAGUCUCCAGAUGAUCUGGGAGAAGUAGUGUUCUAAUGUCCUGCCUUUCUCAAAAAUGAGGUACUGGUGGGAAUAAAUGACUUAAUUUAGAUACUUCCUGCAGAUUGGACAGCCUGAGAAACUGAGGCAGAACACCUGAUUUUUGGGACCUCAUUAGGGGAGCUAAACCUUUAGGAGCUUUUUGGUUUAUUGUAUGUCACUGAAUUUAACCUGUCUUGUUGGGUCUAAACUUGCUUACGGACCAGCUACAUGUUUAGCAUGUCUAGUGGCCACUGGGAGGGAAACAUUUUUUCUUGUCUUUCUUGCAGGGUAGAUUGCCGGUCCAUGUCUGGUCUAGCUGUGUGUGAUCUGUGUGUAGAAAAGUGGCUGGUAGGACCUCUUCUGAAAGCAACUAACCCUUUGGAUUUAAGUUCAGAUGUAGGUAGAGCUUUUUUUCUUUUUCCAUAUUCUUCUCUGUCCGUGGUUCAUCUCAAGGAUUAAAUAAGGGAGAAAAAGAAUUGGGUUUCUUUGGGUGGAAAACUGAGAUAAUCAGUAUUCUGAAAAGAAAUGUGAGUGCUUAAAGUAAUCUGAAGCAGCUUUCACAUUCACACUGGCAAUACUUACUUAUUCAAACUGUACUUGCUAGGACUGUGCGAUAUAGUAACAAGAUGCUUACACCCGAGAUGGGUACUGCUCAUGCUGAGCAGCUAGUUUUCUUAGUUCUAAUCCAAAGUAAAGCAGUGACAGUGGCUUUCCCAGAGGUAGUGAAAGAAUUGUUUGGAUGGUUUCUUUCUGAUGUUUUGUUUGUUUGUUUGUUUCUGAUCAUGUUUGGCUUUAUGACUGCAGAAACUAUGGCACUGGCCUGUGUGAGGAGAUACCCUGGGCAGUGGAAAUGAGCAACUAGGAGGGGAUGAGGACAGUUCAGACAGUUUUUUCUGCUGAUAAGAAUCCUAAUGAGCAUGAUCUCCCGAUUGCGCAGCACCAUACAUCUGCUCCGUUCUUAGUGAGCCUUCUGAGCAGGCUCCUCAGUAUGGCCUACAGGAGCACUUUGCUGCCCAGGUUACAUCCUGUGUUAGUGCCGGGACCACUUCAUGGCUUCCCUUUCCCUUCCCCAAGGCUCUCUGUGCUGCUGCUUUGAAAGUUUGCUUAUUACUCACUGAUUACUCUCAGGUGAUUGUUUUCUGCUCCUGAGUACACCAUGUCAUCUUCCUGUUUUUCACAGAAAUAAUAAUGUGAGAUGAGAUGCCCUGGGAAACGAAGGCAUUGCUUAGGGCCGGCAGGUCCUUCUUGCUGUGCUAGAAGCUGCUUACACUCAGUAUUGGCUCUUCUUUAGCAUGGGCUCAAUUUGCAGCUCCUCAGGAAAACUUGCAGGCAGCUGUGUGUGGAAAAUAAGACAGGAGAUGGCCUCCUCCAGGAAGAGGGUUCAUGAAAUGAUAAAGCAAACCUCUUGCAAAAGCAGUUUGUGUAGUCCUCAGAUCAUGAUGUUGUGGUUCUGUGUCCCCUGCAGUCACAAGAUAUUUGCAUAGAUGCUUCCUUCCUUCUUCAAGACUGUUUCCUGCUGCUGGUUGCUCAUAUUUUUUGCUUAACUGUAAGGAUAGGAUUUUAAGACAAAAGGCAAAGGACCAAGAAAAAAAAUCCCUCUAAUUUCAAAUCUAACUUAAGGGUGACCAAAUGAAGUUAGAGUUCUCACAGAACAGAUCUUGGUCUCUGCCCUCUCCUCCCUUCCACGAUGGAGCUCAGCAUUGCAGCCCCACUGUUCACUAUGGCUCUUGGAGUCCCUUAGAAAGACCAGUGGGAAACAGCAGUUUUUGAAUCUUGUUUCUGCUUCAUCCUUGGUGCUGGCUGAUUUAGAGCCAGGAAGUUUCCUUCAGACAUAGGUAGGUGUAGAUAAUGAAUGUAACUUCUUUACCAUUACAUGAAGGAGUACAGGUUGUGCUUCCUAUGUAGUUAGAACUGAAUCUUUACUUUUCCCCAGCAAUUUCUGUCUGGGACGUGUUGUGCUUCAGAAAUUAGUUGCCAUCUGCCCCUUUAUUCAGUUGAGCAGAAUAAGGAAUAAAUGUAAACCUCACCUUGUGUAUUUCAAUAAAUCUUACAUUGACAUUGUGGACACCUCAAGCCGUGUGGGAGCAAGACUGGGAGGUCAAAUGCUGUAGUUAUGCAGUUUGUUGUCAUGUGUGGAGAAAGCUGUACUCUGCGAAGGGAAUUCCUGGAAAAACAUUAUUAUGGAGAAUCAAUGUCCUGAGCAGCAAGGAGCUGAGCAUGGCUCAGGCUGGAGGUGAAUGGACAUGACAGCCAUGAGCAGAGCUGGCAAUAGACCAUGUUGAGCGCAGAAUGUCAUCUCUGGAAUAUAUUUGUACGAGGAGAUGAGUGCUGAUCUGAUAGACCCUUUCCUGCGCCCUUUUCUUUUUCCUGGAUGUGCCUUUAACUGGGUGUUGCCUUGCUGAGCAUGUUUAAUGCCCUGUUAGAUUUUAUGCCUUGUCAGCACAGGAUUAGCCACUGGAGUUUUACAAUGGCUGAUGAGCAAGCGGUUGGGGAGUUACUGUUCCUGAAGGGCUGCAUGGCUCAGAAAGACAGUAUGGUGUUUAUGGAGAUUUUCAUUCUUUAUUGAAGUACUUAACUAAUAAUGUGCAUUUGGAUCUUGAUUUGAAUCAUUUGAGGUGCUCAUCUUAAAAGUAAGAGGUUUGUUCUUAGAAGGCUCUUGUCGGGAAGAGCCUGUAAAUAUUUCCAUAGUAAUUUUCAUUUGGAGGCAGCUUGUUAGAGAAUUCUAACUCUGCUUAUUCAGUGAAAAUCUGGUAAAUGCAGUACACAGCUGAUGUAUUGAUGCAUUUUUCCAAAGUAGUGUUUCCUUGAUUUGUGUAACUGCAGGUGUAGCCUUUGCCUGUGCUCAUGAUGACACUGUAGUCUUAGUUGGUUUUUGGUUUGGGGUUUUUUUUUGUCUUUGAUGCAAAGAAUUUUUCUGGGAACUAGAAAGAAGACGGGAAGAUCAAGGCUCUGAAAACUGUAUCACGUGAGCCAGUAAUUUAUAGAACCCAAUUCAUGGCUUGCUGGGCACUAUGACAAGAAAAUAAAAUAAGACUGAAGCCAACACAGCGUGCAAGGUGUGAUCCUACUCGUUAUGUUGCUCACAAACAACAAAGCAGCCAGUAAUCUUUUGCCACCUUUUAGUGUAUUACUACCUUCUCGCAGACUUCAAUUUUAAACUCUGUAAUGGUGCUUUCAUUUAAAAGGAAGAUAAAAAGUAGGGGAAAUGUAAGUUCAAUCCCACCUUCAAUCUGAAGAAAAAAACCCUACAUCUUCUGAUAAGAUAUUAGGAAGAAGUUCUUAACUGUAAGGGUGCUGAGGCACUGGCACAGGUUUCCCAGAAAAGCUGUGGCUGCCCCAUCCCUGGCAGUGUUCAAGGUUGGAUGAGGCUUGGAGCAACCUGGUCUAGUGGAAGGUGUCCCCACCUGUGCAGGGGAUUGGAACUAGGUGAUCUCUAAGCUCCCUUCCAACCCAAACCAUUCUAGGCUGCUGUGUUUGACAGCUAAGAGCCUUUAUUAAUUAUUGGUUGAAGACUCAUAUGCCAGGAAGAUAAAAUAAGGUGUUACUGUUAAGGCUAGUGAGAGUCACUCAGAACUCUUCUGUGUUUCAUUUAUUGACUAGUAAAGGUAAACUGCAGGAAUUGUCUUGUAAGCACCUUCAUCCUUUACAGGAUCCAGGCUACGAGGUACUUUCAGGGAUCAUUGGCUUAGCCUUUUCUGUAUGCAGCUUCUGUUUACAUGAUGAGGAUUAAUAGUGGUUACCACCUGUACAGAAUACUUUGAUCUGUAUCUAAAGCAUGAUCAGUGUGUACUGAGUGCUGUUUGCUGUCUUUGUACUGUAACUUAAACCGAAACUGUUUGCAUAGUGCUAUUACUAACUUUAAGCUAAUUCCUCUCACAAAAGUUUUUUAUCACAGAACAAUUAUUUUUCUGAGUGAUCAUUAUUUUCACAUAAAAAAAAAACCCACACAUGGCAAAACGAGUGCCUGCUGUGUCAGCCAGUCAGUAAUGGACUCUUUGUGGACACGAUCAGGAAAUGUGCCUUUUGUUUUCCUGCACCUGUGGCUCUAUUACAAAUAAAACCAUCCAAUGUUUUAUUAAAUAAAAUGAGAAGCCCUAAUGAAAUUGUA